GUGACACAGUGUAACGACAACGCGCUCAAAAUGGCUGGACGUUAACUUCUGUGUUUAACUAAACUCGGGUUUAACAAAGGUGGUGUGUAUAGAACCGGCUGUUACUCGUGCUGCUGUGUUUCCUGUUUAUGACCUGAACCCAGACCAGAGACCGAUCCUUCAGCUCCGUCAUGACUUGUUAUUACUGUCCACAAUGCGGCUCGAAACUGCAGCCUGGCUUUAAGUUUUGUCCUUCGUGUGGAGAAAAACUGCCCUGUCUGUUAGAGCCUCCUGAACACACACACACUGAUGGGGCAACACAACCGGAUCCGGUGAUCAAGCUCAGCUCACUGGUGCAGACUCAGAGCAUCACUGGGACAGAUGCUUCAGGAGAUCCCUCCUCCUCCUCCUCCACUUCCUCCUUAUCCUCCUCUUCCCAAUCAGCACUGAAACGCUCUCCCAUCAGAACCACACGCAGAUCCGCCAUGAGGAAAUCCUGCAGUCUGUCCACGUCACCCAGACCUUCAGCAGCCAAGGAUCAGAACGCUGUUACAUCUCCAUGGAAACGGAAAGCGUCCCCGGAAAAGAAAAAGGAGGAAGAGCAAACGAAUGUGUCGUGUCAGACUCCUCAGACUCCACCCUCAGGUAAAGUUAAGCGCAUGAAGCGAGCGAGUGCUGUGGCGCCUGUGCAGGAAGGACUGGAGUUAUGUGACCAGUCAGGAAAGAAAUGGAGACUCGGGAAGCUGUUGAGUCAGACGGACCUGGAGCUGACGUAUGAGGUGCAACAGGUUGGUGUACGGAGCACAUCUAAUGACUUAAAACACAUAAUGAGGCUGGGUGCAAAAGAUGGACAGCUGUUUAAUGAACAGAAUUUCCUCCAAAGAGCUGCUAAACCUGCUGCAGUGGAGAAGUGGAUGAAGAUCCAUAGUUUGAACUUUCUCGGAAUCCCAUCAAGUGUUGGUUUUGGUCUACAUGAAACUUACAGGUUUUUGAUAUUUCCUGAUAUGGGCUGCACGCUGCAGUCAGUUCUGGACAAACAGACGAGUCUCAAUGAGAGAGAAGUCCUGAAGCUGGCACUACGAUUACUGGAUGCUCUGGAGUUCAUCCAUGAAAAUGAGUAUGUUCAUGCAGACAUCGAUGCAGGAAACGUCUCCAUCAGGACACAGGGCGAUUCCCAGGUUUUUCUUUCAGGGUUUGGUCACGCGUUCCGGUUCUGUCCUGGAGGGAAACAUGUGGAAUAUCGGGAAGGCAGCCGGAUGCCACACCAAGGAAACCUGAACUUCAUCAGCGUAGAUUCACACAAAGGGGCUGUUUUUUGUGUGUGUGUCCGUCCGUGUGUGUGUCCGUCCAUCCGUCGGUGUGUCCGUCCGUCGGUGUGUGUGUGUUUGUCGGUGUGUGUGUGUGUGUUUGUCGGUGUGUGUGUGUGUUUGUCGGUGUGUGUGUGUGUGUUUGUCGGUGUGUGUGUGUGUGUGUUUGUCGGUGUGUGUGUUUGUCGGGGUGUGUCGGUGUGUGUUUGUCGGGGUGUGUGUGUUUGUCGGGGUGUGUGUGUUUGUCGGGGUGUGUGUGUGUGUGUGUGUUUGUCGGCGUGUGUGUGUGUGUGAGUCGUUCGGUGUGUGUGUGUGUUUGUCGGUGUGUGUGUGUUUGUCGGUGUGUGUGUGUGUUUGUCGGUGUGUGUGUGUGUGUGUGUGUGUUUGUCGGUGUGUGUGUCGGUCGGUGUGUGUGUGUGUUUGUCGGUGUGUGUGUGUGUGUUUGUCGGUGUGUGUGUGUGUGUUUGUCGGUGUGUGUGUGUGUGUUUGUCGGUGUGUGUGUGUUUGUCGGUGUGUGUGUGUUUGUCGGUGUGUGUGUGUGUUUGUUUGUUGGGGUGUGUGUGUGUGUUUGUCCGGGCGUAUGUGUUUGUCGGGGUGCGUGUGUGUUUGUCGGGGUGUGUGUGUGUGUGUGUGUGUGUGUGUGUGUCUGUGUUUGUGACCCACAGGUCCAUCUCGGCGCAGUGAUCUGCAGUCUCUGGGUUUCUGUCUACUCUUCUGGUUGACCGGCACGCUGCCCUGGAGUCCCAUCACUCAGUCAGGCUCAGCUGUUUCUGCUCAGAAGGAAAGGUACAUGACUGAUAUUCCUGGAUUAAUGA